rnacentral:rRNA from 1 species
UACGUAGGGACCAAGCGUUGUUCGGAUUUACUGGGCGUAAAGGGCGCGUAGGCGGCUUGUCAAGUCACUUGUGAAAUCUCUGGGCUUAACCCAGAACGGCCAAGUGAAACUGACAUGCUAGAGUGCAGAAGGGGCAAUCGGAAUUCUUGGUGUAGCGGUGAAAUGCGUAGAUAUCAAGAGGAACACCUGAGGUGAAGACGGGUUGCUGGGCUGACACUGACGCUGAGGCGCGAAAGCCAGGGGAGCAAACAGG